rnacentral:tRNA from 1 species
UGGGGAGUAGCUCAGCUGGCAGAGCACUCGACUGUUAAUCGAGUUGUCGCGGGUUCGAGCCCCGCCUCCCCAG